rnacentral:rRNA from 1 species
GACAGAGGGGGCAAGCGUUGCUCGGAAUCACUGGGCGUAAAGGGCGCGUAGGCGGGAUGGCAAGUCGGUCGUGAAAUCCUUCGGCUCAACCGAAGAACGUCGGCCGAUACUGCCGUUCUUGAGGGAUGCAGAGGAGAUUGGAAUUCCCGGUGUAGCGGUGAAAUGUGUAGGGAUCGGGAGGAACACCGGUGGCGAAGGCGGGUCUCUGGGCCAUUACUGACGCUGAGGAGCGAAAGCGUGGGGAGCGAACAGG